rnacentral:tRNA from 1 species
UCAAGAAAUAGUUUAAUUAAAAUAAUAGCUUUGGGGGUUGUAGGUAUAAGUGUGGAUUCUUAUUUUCUUGAU